AUUGAACGCUGGCGGCAGGCCUAACACAUGCAAGUCGAGCGGAGCGGCGGACGGGUGAGUAAUGCCUAGGAAUCUGCCUGCCAGUGGGGGAUAACGUCCGGCAACGGGCGCUAAUACCGCCUACUUUCAGACGAGCCUAGGUCGGAUUGGCUAGUUGGUGGGGUAAAGGCCUACUCAGGCGACGAUCCGUAACUGGUCUGAGUGGAUGAUCAGUCACACUGGAACUGAGACACGGUCCAGACUCCUACGGGAGGCAGCAGUGGGGAAUAUUGGACAAUGGGCGAAAGCCUGAUCCAGCCAUGCCGCGUGUGUGAAGAAGGUCUUCGGAUUGUAAAGCACUUUAAGUUGGGAGGCGUUACCAACAGAAUAGGCACCGGCUAACUUCGUGCCAGCCGCCGCGGUAAUAC
rnacentral:rRNA from 1 species